rnacentral:tRNA from 1 species
GGCUUUAUAUUCAACAAUGAUUCUAGAUUGCAAAUCUAGAGGUGUAAUUCUUACUAAGGCUU